UACGUAGGGUGCGAGCGUUGUCCGGAAUUAUUGGGCGUAAAGAGCUCGUAGGCGGUCUGUCGCGUCGGAUGUGAAAGCCCGGGGCUUAACUCCGGGUCUGCAUUCGAUACGGGCAGACUAGAGUGUGGUAGGGGAGAUCGGAAUUCCUGGUGUAGCGGUGAAAUGCGCAGAUAUCAGGAGGAACACCGGUGGCGAAGGCGGAUCUCUGGGCCAUUACUGACGCUGAGGAGCGAAAGCGUGGGGAGCGAACAGG
rnacentral:rRNA from 1 species